rnacentral:lncRNA from 1 species
AGUCUAGUCUGUGACCUGAGCCAUCAUGGUAGGGUGUCCAGGGUGAGGGGAGGGUGGUGUGAAUCCCCAGUAAUGCAGGUCCUUUCCAGGCCAGGCCCCUGGUCCCCAGGAGUGCGGGGAUGCCUGAGGUCUACUGCUGCCUUAUCCAGAGCUGCCAUCCCCGGCGAUGACUCAGAGUUCCUGUGGCCCCAGCAUCAUCCCUCCAUCCCUGGCUGUGAGGCAGGAGCAGAGUUGCAGACCUGAGAGGCCUUGAAUUUGUUUGAUAUAGGACUUUGCCACCAGACAAAGUGCUUUGCCUGUGAGGUCUGGCUUGGCCUGGCCUCUGAGAAAGAACAAACACAGACCUCACUGGAAGGAACCUGGAGAACGGGAGAGGAGAGGCUGCUGCUGUCUGCCCUCCCAGCAGCAGAUAUAAAGACAAUGGGCUUCUAAGUCCCCUAGAGUCCCAGCUGUGUAAUUUAAGGCAAAUAUAAUUUCUGACCUACGUAAUGAUGUAUGCACAAGAAGCCUCUCUUGAAUGUAUUAAUUCAGUAAACAGUUAUGGAGUCCUUACAAUGUGCUAGUGGGACUUUGAAGAUGAAUCCAAAUUUGGAUCCUGGCCUGGAAAGGCUCAAAGCCCAAUAUGGGAGUGAUUCUGAGCAGAAACAAAGGGGAACGUAUGUCUUCAUUGUGACUCAGCGAGCAAAGAGAUGGAGUCUUUUCCAAGAAGAAAGUGGGAGAUUUGGGACCACUGACAUAUUUGGCCCACUGAUUCCAUUCCCCUAGACCAACACGUGUUCAUCAAAUUGCAUCACUCUUAUGGGGAACUUAAUGCAACUCCGGUGCCCAUUGCAUUAGUUUUUGAUGAUGGAAUUCUCUUUGUGAACUUGAACUUGAGGGGUCUGGCUACCCCUCUGAGACUUCUUUUUUGAGAUAAAAUCAUAUAACAUAAAAUUCG